CCCUUAGACGUUCUGGGCCGCACGCGCGCUACACUGACGAAGGCAACGAGCUUUCCUUUACCGAAAGGUACGGGUAAUCUUUUGAAACUUCGUCGUGCUGGGGAUAGAUCCUUGCAAUUAUUGAUCUUAAACGAGGAAUUCCUAGUAAGCGCAAGUCAUCAACUUGCGUUGAUUACGUCCCUGCCCUUUGUACACACCGCCCGUCGCUACUACCGAUUGAAUGGUUUAGUGAGGCCUUCGGAUCCGCAACUCGUUUUGUGGAGAAGUUGGACAAACUCANUNAUUUAANGGAAGUAAAANUCGUANCA
rnacentral:rRNA from 1 species